rnacentral:rRNA from 1 species
AUGAACGCUAGCGACAGGCCUAACACAUGCAAGUCGAGGGGCAGCGCGGGAGAAGCUUGCUUUCCUGGCGGCGACCGGCGCACGGGUGCGUAACAGGUGUGCAAUCUGUCCAUAGUCGGGGGAUAGCCCAGCGAAAGCUGAAUUAACACUCCAUGUGAAUCGAAGCCGCAUGACUUUGAUUUGAAACGCAAGGACUAUGGGUGAGCACGCUUCUGAUUAGCUAGUUGGUGGGGUAACGGCUCACCAAGGCGACGAUCAGUAGGGGUUCUGAGAGGAAGGUCCCCACAUUGGAACUGAGACACGGUCCAAACUCCUACGGGAGGCAGCAGUGAGGAAUAUUGGUCAAUGGGCGAGAGCCUGAACCAGCCAAGUCGCGUGAAGGAAUGAAGGUUCUAUGGAUUGUAAACUUCUUUUGUCCGAGGGUAAAAAAGGCCACGUGUGGCUUCUUGCAAGUAUCGGACGAAUAAGCAUCGGCUAACUCCGUGCCAGCAGCAGC